CCUACGGGAGGCAGCAGUGGGGAAUGUUGGGCAAUGGGCGCAAGCCUGACCCAGCAACGCCGCGUGAAGGAAGAAGGCUUUCGGGUUGUAAACUUCUUUUCUCAGGGACGAAGCAAGUGACGGUACCUGAGGAAUAAGCCACGGCUAACUACGUGCCAGCAGCCGCGGUAAUACGUAGGUGGCAAGCGUUAUCCGGAUUUACUGGGUGUAAAGGGCGUGUAGGCGGGGACGCAAGUCAGAUGUUAAAACCACGGGCUCAACCUAUGGCCUGCAUUUGAAACUGUGGUUCUUGAGUGCUGGAGAGG
rnacentral:rRNA from 1 species